rnacentral:ncRNA from 1 species
AAAAAUAGUGUUGAUUAUUAUUUGGGGGUUUAUUAAUAAUUGUAUAUUUUUAAAGUUUUAUUCUGAUUUAUUUGAUUAAUUAAAAAUUUAAAUAAAUGUAAAUUUUUGUGUUAUUAGUUUUAUUUAGAUAGUAAAUUAUUGCAGUAUUUAAUUUUUAAAAAUUAAAGAAAUUUAGAUUUAGAAAUUUUUUAUAGAAUAAACAAAUUUUGUGCCAGCAGUUGCGGUUAUACAGAAUAUUCAAUUAAUUAUUAAAAAAUUAUAAUUAGAUUUGUUAAGUUUUUAUUAGUAUUUUGAUUUAUUAGGUGAAAUUUUAAAUUAAAUAUAAUUAUUUGUUUUAAAAUUGAUUUUAUUAAAUUUUAUUAAAAACUAGGAUUAGAUACCCUAUUAUUAAAAUGUAAAUUUUAAGUUUAAUUAGUAUUAGGAAAAUCUUGAAAAUUAAAGAAUUUGGCGGUAUUUUAGUCUUUUCAGAGGAACCUGUUCUGUAAUUGAUAGUCCACGAUUAGUUGUACUUAACUUAGAAGUUUAUAUAUCGUUGUAGUUGAAUUUUUUAUAAGAAUUAAAAUGUUCAUAAUUUAUUAUUAUAAAGAAAAUCAAAUCAAGGUGUAGCUUAUAGUUAAGAAGAAAUGGGUUACAUUAAAUUUAUUUAUGGAUAAAUAUUUUAAAAAUAUUUUGAAAUUGGAUUUGAAAGUAAUAAAAUUUAUUUAGUUAUUAUGAUUUAAGCUCUAAGAUAUGUACAUAUUGCCCGUCGCUCUCAUUUAAAGUGAGAUAAGUCGUAACAUAGUAGGUGUACUGGAAAGUGUAUCUAGAAUUCA